UACGUAGGGUCCGAGCGUUGUCCGGAAUUAUUGGGCGUAAAGAGCUCGUAGGCGGUUUGUCGCGUCUGCUGUGAAAUCCCGAGGCUCAACCUCGGGCCUGCAGUGGGUACGGGCAGACUUGAGUGCGGUAGGGGAGAAUGGAAUUCCUGGUGUAGCGGUGGAAUGCGCAGAUAUCAGGAGGAACACCGAUGGCGAAGGCAGUUCUCUGGGCCGUAACUGACGCUGAGGAGCGAAAGCUAGGGGAGCAAACGGG
rnacentral:rRNA from 1 species